rnacentral:tRNA from 1 species
AGUUUAGAAAGCGAAUUUACGCACUUAGUUUCGGCCUAAGCCCUGAGCAAGUCUCUCUAAACUA